ACAUUGGUUAGCCAUCGUGGUUCUGCGGACGAAGGUCCGGAGCUAAGAGGGAAUUCGGUGAGGGCUUUAAUCACAGCCUGAAUCCGAAGCUGCCCCCGCAACUGUAAGCGACGAGCGAAAGUCCAUCAUGUCACUGAGGCCGGCCUCGGGAAGACGGACCAAAGCUAUGACCCGCAAGCCAGGAGACCUGCCGCGAUAGAUAACGUCCAC
rnacentral:ncRNA from 20 species